rnacentral:piRNA from 1 species
UGACCUCCAAUGUGCUGCUCAUGAUGUCA